AAUUUGCCCCAAAGUGAGGAAUAACUGCCCGAAAGGGUGGCUAAUGCCGCAUAUGAUCUUCGGAUUAAAGGAUUUAUCCGCUUUGGGAGAAGCCCGCGUCGGAUUAGGUAGUUGGUGAGGUAAUGGCUCACCAAGCCGACGAUCCGUAGCUGGUCUGAGAGGAUGACCAGCCAGACUGGAACUGAGACACGGUCCAG
rnacentral:rRNA from 1 species